rnacentral:rRNA from 1 species
CCUACGGGAGGCAGCAGUGAGGAAUAUUGGUCAAUGGGAGAGAUCCUGAACCAGCCAAGCCGCGUGAGGGAAGACGGCCCUAUGGGUUGUAAACCUCUUUUGUCGGAGAACAAAACCCGGGACGUGUCCAGGACUGCGUGUAUCCGAAGAAAAAGCAUCGGCUAACUCCGUGCCAGCAGCCGAGGUAAUACGGAGGAGGCGAGCGUUAUCCGGAUUUCUUGGGUUUAAAGGGUGCGUAGGCGGUCCGGUAAGUCAGCGGUAAACUUGCGGGGCUCAACCCCGUCGCGCCGUUGAAACUGGCAGCCUUGAGUUGGCGAGCAGUACGCGUCAUGCGCGGUGUAGCGGU